UACGAAGGGUGCAAGCGUUACUCGGAAUUACUGGGCGUAAAGCGUGCGUAGGCGGUUUGUUAAGUCUGUUGUGAAAGCCCCGGGCUCAACCUGGGAAUGGCAAUGGAAACUGGCGAGCUAGAGUACGGUAGAGGAGAGUGGAAUUCCCGGUGUAGCAGUGAAAUGCGUAGAGAUCGGGAGGAACAUCAGUUGCGAAGGCGGCUCUCUGGACCAAUACUGACGCUGAGGCACGAAAGCGUGGGGAGCAAACAGG
rnacentral:rRNA from 1 species